rnacentral:rRNA from 1 species
CCUACGGGAGGCAGCAGUGAGGAAUAUUGGUCAAUGGGCGCGAGCCUGAACCAGCCAAGUCGCGUGAGGGAGGACGGCCCUACGGGUUGUAAACCUCUUUUGCCGGGGAGCAACGGGCGUCACGUGUGGCGCCACUGCGAGUACCCGGAGAAAAAGCAUCGGCUAACUCCGUGCCAGCAGCCGCGGUAAUACGGGGGAUGCGAGGGUUAUCCGGAUUUAUUGGGGUUAAAGGCUGCGUAGGCGGAUCGUUAAGUCAGUGGUCAAAUUGAGGGGCUCAACCCCUUCCCGCCAUUGAAACUGGCGUUCUUGAGUGGAAGAGAAGUAUGCGGAAUGCGUGGUGUAGCGGUGAAAUGCAUAGAUAUCACGCAGAACCCCGAUUGCGAAGGCAGCAUGCCGGCUUCCGACUGACGCUGAAGCACGAAAGCGUGGGGAUCGAACAGGAUUAGAUACCCUGGUAGUC